rnacentral:misc_RNA from 1 species
ACAUCUCACCUCCUCAAGUACGAUGCGUCACUAGCCAUUAAGCAAUCCCCCCUCAUCCCCCCCUCUUUUCUCUAAUUUUGCCAAAAAAGAAAGUGUCAACUACCCGAAAAUUCACCCAUUUGAAACUACAAUCAUGUCAUCAAAUGUCCUGACUCCUUUUAUUUUUUGAAACACGUCAAGUAAAGUACACAAAAACCUUAGAAAGCCAAAAGAAAAUGGGUCACCGUUCUUAGAAUGACCCUGCUGCUAUUGUCAAGCUUGAACAUGGUCCUACUCAGGGAUUCUCAUCUCUCUGAUUUGCGCCUAUGCUCAUCUCUCUCUCUAUGACGACUGGAGGAAGAAUCCCUAACAUGGGCAGACGAUUUGGCUCCUCUCUUAUCUUGGUCUUCCCUAAGAUAGGAUUCUGAUUCGUGCCUCUUAAAUCUCUUUUCCUCCCUCCGAUCAUCAUUGUCUCUUGACCUUGGCUCCAAUCCAUCACCAUUAUUAUGCCUUCUCAAUCCCCUUUCAUCCCUCUUAUAAUCUUCUCCUCUUUGAACGUCUUCAUGCCUUCUCAACCUCUUUUCAUCGCUCCUAUGAUAAUCAUCUCUAGACUUUGGCUCAAAUUCCUCAUCUCCAUGCCUUCUCGAUCUCUUUUCAUCUCUCCUAUCAUAGUCUUCGCUUGAUUUUGGCUCAAAUUCAUUGUCUUCUUGUCUUCUCCAUCUCUUUCCAUCUCUUCUAUGAUAAUCUUCUUUUGACUUCCGCUCCAUUUCAUUUUCAUCAUGCCUUCUUGAACUCUUGUCCUCCCUCCUAUCACUCUGUUUAGGGAGGCUCUCUGAAGGUCUCUCAUUGCCAGAUCUUUUCUCACUCUUUUUUGGAGCAUCAAACUUGUCAUGUCCCCAUCUUGGACUUUUAUCCUCAGGACCCCAUCCUGUGUUUGCAGCUCUUUGCUCAUCAUGGGAAAAUUUGCAGCUAGCUCCACGAGUGCAUUCACCUCUUUGGAAAGCACGGCAUACUCCUCGAGCCUCUCUCUUCUGCUGUUGUGUCUCUUCAUCCUCCUCCUCUUUCUUCUUGUACUUAGUAACAUGAUCAACCCUUACAAUUCGACCAGCAACCUCUGCGCCAUUCAGAUUAUCUACAGCAAGAGAUUUGUACUUCUUUGAUCCUCAUAUGCAAUAAAUGCAAAACCUUUUGAUUUACCAGUAUCCUUGUCUCUAACUAGAUUAACAUCAACAAUCUCCCCAUAUUGAGCAAAAACAGCAAGGAGAUCGCCUUCGGUGAGAUCGAAAGGAAUACCGCCAACAAAAACAUAAGCUGAAUCUUUGUAUUUGGCGUGCCAGGAAGCAUCCUCUGAAAUCCCUAACUCUGCUUCUUUCGAGUUUAUGUUCUGAAUUCGUUUCACCAGCGUCAAUGGAUUCAUC